AUUGAACGCUGGCGGCACGCCUUACACAUGCAAGUCGAACGGUAACAGGUCUUCGGAUGCUGACGAGUGGCGAACGGGUGAGUAAUACAUCGGAACGUGCCCGAGAGUGGGGGAUAACGAGGCGAAAGCUUUGCUAAUACCGCAUACGAUCUCAGGAUGAAAGCAGGGGACCGCAAGGCCUUGCGCUCACGGAGCGGCCGAUGGCAGAUUAGGUAGUUGGUGGGAUAAAAGCUUACCAAGCCGACGAUCUGUAGCUGGUCUGAGAGGGCGACCAGCCACACUGGGACUGAGACACGGCCCAGACUCCUACGGGAGGCAGCAGUGGGGAAUUUUGGACAAUGGGCGCAAGCCUGAUCCAGCCAUGCCGCGUGCAGGAUGAAGGCCUUCGGGUUGUAAACUGCUUUUGUACGGAACGAAAAGACUCCUUCUAAUAAAGGGGGUCCAUGACGGUACCGUAAGAAUAAGCACCGGCUAACUACGUGCCAGCCGCCGCAGUAACAC
rnacentral:rRNA from 1 species